rnacentral:rRNA from 1 species
UACGUAGGGUGCAAGCGUUGUCCGGAAUUAUUGGGCGUAAAGAGCUCGUAGGCGGUCUGUCGCGUCGGACGUGAAAAUCCAGGGCUCAACCCUGGACCUGCGUUCGAUACGGGCAGACUAGAGUUCGGUAGGGGAGACUGGAAUUCCUGGUGUAGCGGUGAAAUGCGCAGAUAUCAGGAGGAACACCGGUGGCGAAGGCGGUUCUCUGGGCCUUACCUGACGCUGAGGAGCGAAAGCGUGGGGAGCGAACAGG